GAGUUUGAUUCUGGCUCAGGACGAACGCUGGCGGCGUGCCUAAUACAUGCAAGUCGAGCGGAGUUGAAUAAGUGCUUGCACUAAUUCAACUUAGCGGCGAACGGGUGAGUAACACGUAAAGAACCUGCCUCAUAGACUGGGACAACUACUGGAAACGGUAGCUAAUACCGGAUAACAUAUUUUUCUGCAUGGGAAAAUAUUGAAAGUCGGUCAUGCUGACACUAUGAGAUGGCUUUGCGGUGCAUUAGCUAGUUGGUAGGGUAAAGGCCUACCAAGGCGACGAUGCAUAGCCGACCUGAGAGGGUGAUCGGCCACACUGGGACUGAGACACGGCCCAGACUCCUACGGGAGGCAGCAGUAGGGAAUCUUCCGCAAUGGACGAAAGUCUGACGGAGCAACGCCGCGUGAGUGAAGAAGGAUUUCGGUUCGUAAAACUCUGUUGUUAGGGAAGAAUGAUUGUAUAGUAACUAUAUACA
rnacentral:rRNA from 1 species